UGUAGUUACUUCUACAUUUAACCUGCAG
rnacentral:piRNA from 1 species